AAAAAGAUAAGCUAAUUUAAGCUUAAAGGUUCAUACCCUUUAUAUAAAGGUUUUAAUCCUUUUCUUUUUA
rnacentral:tRNA from 1 species